GAUGAACGCUGGCGGCGUGCCUAAUACAUGCAAGUCGAGCGAACAGACGAGGAGCUUGCUCCUCUGACGUUAGCGGCGGACGGGUGAGUAACACGUGGAUAACCUACCUAUAAGACUGGGAUAACUUCGGGAAACCGGAGCUAAUACCGGAUAAUAUAUUGAACCGCAUGGUUCAAUAGUGAAAGACGGUUUUGCUGUCACUUAUAGAUGGAUCCCCGCCGCAUUAGCUAGUUGGUAAGGUAACGGCUUACCAAGGCAACGAUGCGUAGCCGACCUGAGAGGGUGAUCGGCCACACUGUCCCUGCGACACGGUCCAGACUCCUACGGGAGGCAGCAGUAGCAACUCUUCCGCAAUGGGCGAAAGCCUGACGGAGCAACGCCGCGUGAGUGAUGAAGGUUUUCGGAUAGUAAAACUCUGUUAUUAGGGAAGAACAAAUGUGUAAGUAACUAUGCACGUCUUGACGGUACCUACUCAGAAAGCCACGGCUAACUACGUG
rnacentral:rRNA from 1 species